rfam:Erinaceus europaeus unplaced genomic scaffold scaffold00295, whole genome shotgun sequence
AUAUAUGAUGACUUCCUUAGAAUCUCGUUCGACUGAUAAUUUGACUGCUGAGACUGGAAUUCUGAUGUGC